AUGAGAGCAGGUGUCAGCACCCUAUCCAGACCAAGUGAUAAAUUACUGAUGCAGUGCUCAGGUGGUAGCUCCUCUGGCUCCAUCUUGUCUGUGGGUGGAGACUUUGAGAAUCUGCUGAGGAAAUUCAAGCUGGUGUUCCUAGGAGAGCAGAGCAUUGGAAAAACAUCCCUGAUCACCAGAUUCAUGAAUGACAGUUUUGACAACACUUAUCAGGCAACAAUUGGCACUGACUUUUUAUCAAAAAUCAUGUACUUGGAGGAUCCAACAGUAUGAUUGCAGUUAUGGGACACAGCAGCGGCUUUGCCUGGGAUGGAAAGCACACAGGACAGAAGCAGAGAAGAUAUGAUUGAUAUUAAACUGGAAAAGCCUCAGGAGCAACCAGUCAGUGAAGGAAGCUGUUCCUGCUAA